rnacentral:rRNA from 1 species
UACGAAGGGGGCUAGCGUUGCUCGGAAUCACUGGGCGUAAAGCGCACGUAGGCGGAUUGCUAAGUCAGGGGUGAAAUCCUGGAGCUCAACUCCAGAACUGCCCUUGAUACUGGCGGUCUGAGUCGGGAGAGGUGAGUGGAACUGCGAGUGUAGAGGUGAAAUUCGUAGAUAUUCGCAAGAACACCAGUGGCGAAGGCGGCUCACUGGCCCGGU